GUUGUUUCAGCAGCACAUAUAUUAAAAUUAGAACAAUGCAGAGAAGAUUAGCAUGGCACUUGUGCAAGGAUGACAUGCAAAUUCAUGAAGCAUUUCAUAUUUUU
ensembl:snRNA U6 U6 spliceosomal RNA